rnacentral:rRNA from 1 species
CGUACAGGUUUCCGUAGGUGAACCUGCGGAAGGAUCAUUAAUGAUUGACCCUCUGGGUCUUAUCUUAACAUCCCUCACCUCUGUGAACCGUUUGACCUCCGGGUCUUACAAAAACCAUAACAAACAUCAGUGUAAAGAACGUCUUGUUAUCUUAACAAAAACAAAACUUUCAACAACGGAUCUCUUGGCUCUCGCAUCGAUGAAGAACGCAGCGAAAUGCGAUAAGUAAUGUGAAUUGCAGAAUUCAGUGAAUCAUCGAAUCUUUGAACGCACCUUGCGCCCUUUGGUAUUCCGAAAGGCAUGCCUGUUUGAGUGUCAUGAAAUCUCAAUCCCAUCUGGUUUAUGACCGGGUGUUGGACUUGGACAUGGGCGUCUGCCGGUCAAACGGCUCGCCUCAAAUGACUUAGUGGGAUCGCUUGCAUCCGUGACAGACGUAAUAAGUUUCGUCUUGUCCCUUGCUCUGCGUACGCCUGCUCAGAACCAAGCUGUCUUGCCUUCAUUGGCCUGACGCACUUUUUUGACUCUGACCUCAAAUCAGGUAGGGAUACCCGCUGAACUUAAGCAUAUCA